rnacentral:lncRNA from 1 species
CUCUGUUGUCAUGGAGACCAGGGCUGGGAUCACAGAGUCUCCCACCCCCUUGUCCUCCUCUUCAGCCUGAGCCUCACGUCGGGAAAAGACCCAAUGAGAGCCGUCGCCAGCGUCUCCACGUGGGGCCGUACCACAGCCUCAAACAUGCAUCCGGGACAGGAGGAGGGGCGCACCCAAACUGCCAGACAGAACUGCCGCAGCUUCUGGGAAUCAGCACUUUCAAAAACAAAAAUUGCGUGGUUAUUUUACGAGUAGCCCCGUCAUCUCUAGGACGUUACAGGUGGUUGGGGAAGCCCUGCGUCAGGAGGUGUGCUGGAGUCAUUGACGCCUUCACCCAGAGCUCGCUGAGCCGCUGCUGUGGGCCAGGCAGGGGCAGCGCGGGCCCUGGCGUAGAGCAGCGGGCUGCACACAGCCCUGGACACGGCGACCUCCGGCAGUCGAGUUGGCACCCUGAGUCGGCCUGCGACGGGGCGUGUGAGCCGGAAAGGUUCCUCAUCUAUGAAAGGAAUUACAGUGAGGGAGAAACGGGAAGCUGUGGUCCCUGGCACCUGGAAGCCCUGCAUAAAGGCCUCUUGAACUCUGAGUGGACAGCAAGCUGGUCCAGCAGGAGGCGAAGUCAACAACAACAGCCACGGCGAAUGCUGCUCAGAGCUUGCUCCACGUCGCGCUCCUUGAAGUACAGGCUUUGUUGCUUCCAGUCUUCGGCUGUGAUAGAUAGUGUCACCUGGAUGUCACUCACACAUGGGCAAGUCUGUGUAAGACACGGUCCUAUUUCAGGGUUGAAUGGUGUGUGCAUUUUAAAGUUGUGAUGGUCUCUGCCUAAUUGCCCUCCUACAGUUUGCACCAGCAGUGUACACUUCCAGCAGCCACGUAGGAGAGCAGGGCCAGGCCUGAGACACUGAGCGAGGUGAGGAUGCCCAGGGAUGUCCCUCCCUUUAAGGCGAGUGUCCAGGACUAGGGUGUCCUGGGAGGGCUGACUUUCAAUACUGGGCUGACCACCUUCAGCAUCACCAGAACAGUAACAGCCAUUCAGAGCAGCUCUGACUGCCUGACAGGCACAGACGGCGCUUUUCAUUGUCACAGUUGACACGUCCCAGGAGGAAGUGGC